CUGACUGUUUAAUUAAAACAAAGCAUCGCGAAGGCCCGAGGCGGGUGUUAAUGCGAUGUGAUUUCUACCCAGCGCUACGAAUGUCAAAGUGAAGAAAUUCAAUGAAGUGCGGCUAAACGGCAGGAGUAACUAUGACUCUCUUAAGGUAGCCAAAUGCCUCGUCAUCUAAUAAGUGACACGCAUGAAUGGAUGAACGAG
rnacentral:rRNA from 1 species